AUUGAACGCUGGCGGCAGGCCUAACACAUGCAAGUCGAGCGAGCGGCGGACGGGUGUGUAUUGUAUGGGGACUGCCCCAUCUAGGGGGAUAUCUAUUGGAAACGCUAGCUAUUACCCCACACUAUCGGAUAACCCAUAUGGGAUUAGCUAGUAGGUGUGGUAAUGGCUCACCUAGGCGACGAUCCCUAUCUGGUUUGAGAGGAUGAUCAGCCACACUGGGACUGAGACACGGGCCAGAGUCCUACGGAGGCAGCAGUGGGGAAGAUUGCACAAUGGGCGCAAGCCUGAUGCAGCCAUGCCGCGUGUAUGAAGAAGGCCGUAGGGUUGUAAAGUACUUGCAGUCGGGAGGCGUUACCGGCAGAAGAAGCACCGGCUAACUCCGUGCCAGCAGCCGCGGUAAUUC
rnacentral:rRNA from 1 species